UACGUAGGGCGCAAGCGUUAUCCGGAAUUAUUGGGCGUAAAGAGCUCGUAGGCGGCCUGUUACGUCUGCUGUGAAAUCCCGGGGCUUAACCCCGGGCGUGCAGUGGAUACGGGCAGGCUGGAGGCAGGCAGGGGAGAACGGAAUUCCCGGUGUAGCGGUGAAAUGCGCAGAGAUCGGAAAGAACACCAACGGCGAAAGCACUCUGCUGGGCCGACACUGACACUGAGAGACGAAAGCUAGGGGAGCGAAUGGG
rnacentral:rRNA from 1 species